rnacentral:rRNA from 1 species
AGAGUGAACGCUGGCGGUAGGCCCAACACAUGCAAGUCGAACGGCAGCACAGUAGGAGCUUGCUCUUACGGGUGGCGAGUGGCGGACGGGUGAGGAAUACAUCGGAAUCUACCUUUUGGUGGGGGAUAACGUAGGGAAACUUACGCUAAUACCGCAUACGCCCUUCGGGGGAAAGCCGGGGACCAGCAAUGGCCUGGCGCUGAUAGAUGAGCCGAUGUCGGAUUAGCUUAGUUGGUGAGGUAAUGGCUCACCAAGGCGACGAUCCGUAGCUGGUCUGAGAGGAUGAUCAGCCACACGUAGGAACUGAGA